rnacentral:rRNA from 1 species
ACGCUGGCGGCGUGCUUAACACAUGCAAGGGACGAUGAACCAGGAGCUUGCUCUUGGGGAUUAGUGGCGAACGGGUGAGUAACACGUGAGUAACCUGCCCUUGACUCUGGGAUAACCUCCGGAAACGGAAGCUAAUACCGGAUNCGAACUGCGAAGGCAUCUUCAGCAGUUGGAAAGAACUUCGGUCAAGGAUGGACUCGCGGCCUAUCAGGUAGUUGGUGAGGUAACGGCCCACCAAGCCUACGACGGGUAGCCGGCCUGAGAGGGUGACCGGCCACACUGGGACUGAGACACGGUCCAGACUCCUACGGGAGGCAGCAGUGGGGAAUAUUGCACAAUGGGCGCAAGCCUGAUGCAGCAACGCCGCGUGAGGGAUGACGGCCUUCGGGUUGUAAACCUCUUUUAGUAGGGAAGAAGCGAAAGUGACGGUACCUGCAGAAAAAGCACCGGCUAACUACGUGCCAGCAGCCGCGGUAAUACGUAGGGGCGAGCGUUGUCCGGAAUUAUUGGGCGUAAAGAGCUCGUAGGCGGUCUGUCGCGUCUGCUGUGAAAACCCGAGGCUCNACCUCGGGCCUGCAGUGGGUACGGGCAGACUAGAGUGCGGUAGGGGAGAAUGGAAUUCCUGGUGUAGCGGUGGAAUGCGCAGAUAUCAGGAGGAACACCGAUGGCGAAGGCAGUUCUCUGGGCCGUAACUGACGCUGAGGAGCGAAAG